CUGAAAAAUAUCUAAAAUACCCUUUGUCUCAAAACCCAUUUCUCUCUCUAACUACUACUCUCUCCAUCUUCCCUCUUCGAGUCUUCGUCCUCUUCGUCCUCAAAUUGGGGCGAUUUCCAUAGAUUUCCAUUAUUCUCUCUCCUUCUCUCCAUUAUUCUCCUUUCUCCCUCUUUCUCCAUAGAUUUUUCAUUCGAUGAAUAUCAAAGUAUCACUUGGGCGAUUUCCAUGAGUGAUUGUGUUCUUGGCUUCGUUAAAUGCGAAUUGGGUGUCCAUUUUAACCAAAUUUCACGACUUUGUGUGUUCUUGGCUUCGUGCAAUGCGAAUUGGGUGCCCAUUUUAACCAAAUUUCAUGACUUUGGAGCAAAUCGUGGUACGAAAAGCUCACAGAUGUUUGAGUGAUAAACAUGGUGGCCCACAUUACAAUUUGGCCCUUGGAGGAUAGGAAAAUUCAUGUUAUCACUCCUGAAUCCUGACUGCAGAACUGAAUACUUGGAUGAUAACCUUAAGGGAGUUCUGUUUGAGGAAAAUUGAGAACAGACUCUAUCACUAGCUUAAUCAACAAAUUUCCUUUUUGUUUACUGUAAAGGAAAUGUUGUUCCUUAACCUUUAAGUUUCAUUGGUGUUUGUUUAGUUUCCACUUUCCACUAUACUUUGUUUAUUAUCUGGUUUUCACUAUGUAUAAACUCAGUUGGUAUGCUUUUGAAGUAAUGGCAUGAAGUAAAACUGUUAGAUAUA